rnacentral:rRNA from 1 species
UGGGGGAUAUUGCACAAUGGGCGAAAGCCUGAUGCAGCGACGCCGCGUGGGGGAUGAAGGCUUUCGGGUUGUAAACCUCUUUCGCUAUCGAACAAGGCCCGCUUAGGGUGGGUUGAGGGUAGGUGGAGAAGAAGCGCCGGCUAACUACGUGUCAGCAGCCGCGGUAAUACGUAGGGCGCGAGCGUUGUCCGGAAUUAUUGGGCGUAAAGGGCUUGUAGGCGGCUUGUUGCGCCUGCGGUGAAAACGCGGGGCUUAACUUCGCGCGUGCAGUGGGUACGGGCAGGCUUGAGUGUGUAGGGGUGACUGGAAUUCCAGGUGUAGCGGUGGAAUGCGCAGAUAUCUGGAGGAACACCGAUGGCGAAGGCAGGUCACUGGGCCAUUACUGACGCUGAGGAGCGAAAGCAUGGGUAGCGAACAGG